rnacentral:rRNA from 1 species
AUUGAACGCUGGCGGCAGGCCUAACACAUGCAAGUCGAACGGUAGCACAGAGAGCUUGCUCUCGGGUGGCGAGUGGCGGACGGGUGAGUAAUGUCUGGGAAACUGCCCGAUGGAGGGGGAUAACUACUGGAAGCGGUAGCUAAUACCGCAUAACGUCUUCGGACCAAAGCGGGGGACCUUCGGGCCUCACACCAUCGGAUGUGCUCAGAUGGGAUUAGCUAGUAGGUGGGGUAAUGGCUCACCUAGGCGACGAUCCCUAGCUGGUCUGAGAGGAUGACCAGCCACACUGGAACUGAGACACGGUCCAGACUCCUACGGGAGGCAGCAGUGGGGAAUAUUGCACAAUGGGCGCAAGCCUGAUGCAGCCAUGCCGCGUGUAUGAAGAAGGCCUUCGGGUUGUAAAGUACUUUCAGCGGGGAAGAAGGCGAUGGAGUUAAUAGCUUCAUCGAUUGACGUUACCCGCAGAAGAAGCACCGGCUAACUCCGUGCCAGCAGCCGCCGUAA